UACGGGGGGGGCAAGCGUUGUUCGGAAUUACUGGGCGUAAAGGGCUCGUAGGUGGCCAACUAAGUCAGACGUGAAAUCCCUCGGCUUAACCGGGGAACUGCGUCUGAUACUGGAUGGCUUGAGUUCGGGAGAGGGAUGCGGAAUUCCAGGUGUAGCGGUGAAAUGCGUAGAUAUCAAGAGGAACACCUGAGGUGAAGACGGGUUGCUGGGCCGACACUGACGCUGAUGCGCGAAAGCCAGGGGAGCAAACGGG
rnacentral:rRNA from 1 species